rnacentral:rRNA from 1 species
UACGUAGGUGACUAGCGUUGUCCGGAAUGACUAGGGCGUAAAGCGUGCGUAGGUGGUCGAAUAAGUUAGUAGUGAAAUUCCAGGGCUCAACUUUGGCGCUAUUGCUAAGACUGUUCGACUUGAGUGCGAGAGGGGUAAGUGGAAUUCCUAGUGUAGCGGUGGAAUGCGUAGAUAUUAGGAAGAACACCAGUAGCGAAGGCGACUUACUGGCUCGUAACUGACACUGAGGCACGAAAGCGUGGGGAGCAAA